CAGCAGUCGCCGCGGGAAUACAGAGGGUGCGAGCGUUAAUCGGAUUUACUGGGCGUAAAGCGUGCGUAGGCGGCUUCUUAAGUCGGAUGUGAAAUCCCUGAGCUUAACUUAGGAAUUGCAUUCGAUACUGGGAAGCUAGAGUAUGGGAGAGGAUGGUAGAAUUCCAGGUGUAGCGGUGAAAUGCGUAGAGAUCUGGAGGAAUACCGAUGGCGAAGGCAGCCAUCUGGCCUAAUACUGACGCUGAGGUACGAAAGCAUGGGGAGCAAACAGGAUUAGAUACCUCCGUAGUCCCUGUCUCUUAUAC
rnacentral:rRNA from 1 species